rnacentral:rRNA from 1 species
UAGCAUAUCAAUAAGCGGAGGAAAAGAAACCAACCGGGAUUGCCUCAGUAACGGCGAGUGAAGCGGCAAGAGCUCAAAUUUGAAAGCUGGCUCCUUCGGGGUCCGCAUUGUAAUUUGCAGAGGAUGCUUCGGGUGCGGCCCCUGUCUAAGUGCCCUGGAACGGGCCGUCAGAGAGGGUGAGAAUCCCGUCUGGGAUGGGGUGUCCGCGCCCGUGUGAAGCUCCUUCGACGAGUCGAGUUGUUUGGGAAUGCAGCUCUAAAUGGGUGGUAAAUUUCAUCUAAAGCUAAAUACUGGCCGGAGACCGAUAGCGCACAAGUAGAGUGAUCGAAAGAUGAAAAGCACUUUGAAAAGAGAGUUAAAAAGCACGUGAAAUUGUUGAAAGGGAAGCGCUUGCGACCAGACUCGCCUCCAGGGUUCAGCCGGCAUUCGUGCCGGUGUACUUCCCUGGGGGCGGGCCAGCGUCGGUUUGGGCGGCCGGUCAAAGGCUCCCGGAAUGUAGUGCCCUUCGGGGCACCUUAUAGCCGGGAGUGCAAUGCGGCCAGCCUGGACCGAGGAACGCGCUUCGGCACGGACGCUGGCAUAAUGGUCGCAAACGACCCGUCUUGAAACACGGACCAAGGAGUCUAACAUCUACGCGAGUGUUCGGGUGUCAAACCCGUACGCGCAGUGAAAGCGAACGGAGGUGGGAGCCCCCUCGCGGGGCGCACCAUCGACCGAUCCUGAUGUCUUCGGAUGGAUUUGAGUAAGAGCGUAAAUGUGGGGACCCGAAAGAUGGUGAACUAUGCCUGAAUAGGGCGAAGCCAGAGGAAACUCUGGUGGAGGCUCGCAGCGGUUCUGACGUGCAAAUCGAUCGUCAAAUUUGGGUAUAGGGGCGAAAG